CCUACGGGCGGCAGCAGUGGGGGAUAUUGCACAAUGGGGGAAACCCUGAUGCAGCGACGCCGCGUGUGGGAAGACGGUCCUCUGGAUUGUAAACCACUGUCCCCAGGGACGAAGAUGACGGUACCUGGGGAGGAAGCUCCGGCUAACUACGUGCCAGCAGCCGCGGUAAUACGUAGGGAGCGAGCGUUGUCCGGAAUUACUGGGUGUAAGGGGAGCGUAGGCGGGACUGCAAGUUGGGUGUCAAAUCUACCGGCUCAACCGGUAGCCGCACUCAAAACUGCAGUUCUUGAGUGAAGUAGAGGCAGGCGGAAGUCCUAGUGUAGCGGUGAAAUGCGUAGAUAUUAGGAGGAACACCAGUGGCGAAGGCGGCCUGCUGGGCUUUUACUGACGCUGAGGCUCGAAAGUGUGGGGAGCAAACAGGAUUAGAUACCCCAGUAGUC
rnacentral:rRNA from 1 species